AGCAGCUGACGAGUCCCAAAUGGAACGAAACGCGUGUCCUGGAU
rnacentral:hammerhead_ribozyme from 1 species